rnacentral:rRNA from 1 species
UGGGGAAUUUUGGACAAUGGGCGAAAGCCUGAUCCAGCAAUGCCGCGUGUGUGAAGAAGGCCUUCGGGUUGUAAAGCACUUUUGUCCGGAAAGAAAUCCUUGGCUCUAAUACAGUCGGGGGAUGACGGUACCGGAAGAAUAAGCACCGGCUAACUACGUGCCAGCAGCCGCGGUAAUACGUAGGGUGCAAGCGUUAAUCGGAAUUACUGGGCGUAAAGCGUGCGCAGGCGGUUUGCUAAGACCGAUGUGAAAUCCCCGGGCUCAACCUGGGAACUGCAUUGGUGACUGGCAGGCUAGAGUAUGGCAGAGGGGGGUAGAAUUCCACGUGUAGCAGUGAAAUGCGUAGAGAUGUGGAGGAAUACCGAUGGCGAAGGCAGCCCCCUGGGCCAAAUACUGACGCUCAUGCACGAAAAGCGUGGGGGAGCAAAACAGGAUUAGAUACCCUGGUAGUCCACGCCCUAAACGAUGUCAACUAGUUGUUGGGGAUUCAUUUCCUUAGUAACGUAGCUAACGCGUGAAGUUGACCGCCUGGGGAGUACGGUCGCAAGAUUAAAACUUAAAUGAAUUGACGGGGUCAUAGCUGUUUCCU